UAGGUAGCCGGCCUGAGAGGGUGGACGGCCACAAGGGGACUGAGAUACGGCCCUUACUCCUACGGGAGGCAGCAGUGGGGAAUAUUGGACAAUGGAGGGAACUCUGAUCCAGCAAUUCUGUGUGUGUGAAGAAGGUUUUAAGACUGUAAAACACUUUUAGUAGGGGAAGAAAAAAAUGACGGUACCUACAGAAGAAGCAACGGGCUAAAUACGUGCCAGCAGCCGCGGUAAAU
rnacentral:rRNA from 1 species